rnacentral:rRNA from 1 species
AUUGAACGCUGGCGGCAGGCCUAACACAUGCAAGUCGAGCGGAUGAAGGGAGCUUGCUCCUGGAUUCAGCGGCGGACGGGUGAGUAAUGCCUAGGAAUCUGCCUGGUAGUGGGGGAUAACGUCCGGAAACGGGCGCUAAUACCGCAUACGUCCUGAGGGAGAAAGUGGGGAUCUUCGGACCUCACGCUAUCAGAUGAGCCUAGGUCGGAUUAGCUAGUUGGUGGGGUAAUGGCCUACCAAGGCGACGAUCCGUAACUGGUCUGAGAGGAUGAUCAGUCACACUGGAACUGAGACACGGUCCAGACUCCUACGGGAGGCAGCAGUGGGGAAUAUUGGACAAUGGGCGAAAGCCUGAUCCAGCCAUGCCGCGUGUGUGAAGAAGGUCUUCGGAUUGUAAAGCACUUUAAGUUGGGAGGAAGGGCAGUAAGUUAAUACCUUGCUGUUUUGACGUUACCAACAGAAUAAGCACCGGCUAACUUCGUG